rnacentral:tRNA from 1 species
UUGGGUGUAGCUCAGUGUUAGAGGACAUGCUUAGCAUGUAUAAGGCUCUAGGUUCAAUCCCUAAUACCAAAC